rnacentral:rRNA from 1 species
CCUACGGGAGGCAGCAGUGGGGAAUAUUGGACAAUGGGCGAAAGCCUGAUCCAGCAAUGCCGCGUGAGUGAUGAAGGCCUUAGGGUUGUAAAGCUCUUUUACCCGGGAAGAUAAUGACUGUACCGGGAGAAUAAGCCCCGGCUAACUCCGUGCCAGCAGCCGCGGUAAUACGGAGGGGGCUAGCGUUAUUCGGAAUUACUGGGCGUAAAGCGUACGUAGGCGGUGGUUCAAGUCAGAGGUGAAAGCCCGGAGCUCAACUCCGGAACUGCCUUUGAAACUAGAUCGCUAGAACAUCGGAGAGGUAAGUGGAAUUCCGAGUGUAGAGGUGAAAUUCGUAGAUAUUCGGAAGAACACCAGUGGCGAAGGCGGCUUACUGGACGAUUGUUGACGCUGAGGUACGAAAGCGUGGGGAGCAAACAGGAUUAGAUACCCUGGUAGUCCACGCCGUAAACGAUGAUAACUAGCUGUUGGGCCUCAUAGAGGCUCAGUGGCGCAGCUAACGCAUUAAGUUAUCCGCCUGGGGAGUACGGUCGCAAGAUUAAACUCAAAGGAAUUGACGG